UACAGAGGUCUCAAGCGUUGUUCGGAUUCAUUGGGCGUAAAGGGUGCGUAGGUGGCGCCGUAAGUCAGGUGUGAAAUUUCGGAGCUUAACUCCGAAACUGCAUUUGAUACUGCGGUGCUUGAGGACUGGAGAGGAGACUGGAAUUUACGGUGUAGCAGUGAAAUGCGUAGAGAUCGUAAGGAAGACCAGUGGCGAAGGCGGGUCUCUGGGCCGAUACUGACGCUGGAGGAGCGAAAGCGUGGGGAGCGAACAGG
rnacentral:rRNA from 1 species